rnacentral:rRNA from 1 species
AUUGAACGCUGGCGGCGGGCUUAACACAUGCAAGUCGCGCGAGCGGCGGACGGGUGUGUGAUGUCUGGGAACCUGCGUGACGUACGCGGAUGCCUACUGUAAACGGUCGCUAAUACCGCAUACCAUGCGAUGUGCCCUGAUGGGAUUAGCUAGUAGGUGGGGUAAAGGAGUACCUAGGCGUCGAUCCCUAGCUGGUCUGAGAGGAUGACCAGCCACCAUGGAACUGAGACACGGUCCAGACUCCUACGGUAGGCAGCAGUGGGGAAUAUUGCACAAUGGGCGCAAGCCUGAUGCAGCCAUGCCGCGUGUGUGAAGAAGGCUUUCGGGUUGUAAAGCUCUUUCAGCGAGGAGGCGUUACUCGCAGAAGAAGCACCGGCUAACUCCGUGCCAGCAGCCGCGGUAAUAC